rnacentral:lncRNA from 1 species
GCCAUUUUCGAGUGAUGCCUGAUCUCAUCAAUCUAGCGGGAGAGACAGGAUAACCUGUCCGAGAGUAUAGCGCCACUAUGACUCCGCCGGAAAAAUUACUUUAAAAAUCGCCAAAAAUUACUUGGAGCAAAGGGCAGUCGGCGGAGCUUCGCCAAGGCUGGCGCAGUCGGUUUUGACCUGUAGCAGAGAACCAAUUCUGGAGAACAGCCUCACUUCUUUGAUUGAAUACUUACAUAAUGCAUUGGAACAUGACAUGAGAUUAAGUGUAUAAAGCCAAAUGUCCCAUUUAAAGUUUGACAUUUGCAAUAGCAUUCUAUUUAAAAGGUUUAAUAAUGAUAGAAUGAAGACCACAAUAAAAGAGACCUCUACUUAGCUCAGCAAUUCUUACCUUUCUUACCUAUUUGAUGAAGAUGUCUUUUGAAAGGUGUACUGCAAGGAACAAAAUGUUUGUAAAUUCUCCUUUUACCAAGGUGGAUAAUUACUGUACCUUCCUCAUGGAAAAAGUUUUAUUUAAAGUGUUAUUUCUCAUUGAAUACUAUCAAAAAGGAAAAAAAAAUGACCUAAACUUUUGAGAUAGAUUUGGCUCUAGUGUAAAUUUUGAUACCACCAUUGCCGCCUUCCCCUCAAAAAAGGUGAGAACUGACUAAACUACUGGUACUUAGACCAUGUGGAGAAGGAACUGAAAAUGGAAACAGAAACACGUCUGUACAGAGCAGAGUGUCAGAUAAUAGCUCAUUUUAGUAGAGGGCAAUAAAUGCCACAUGAGAUGAUCACCUCAGCAGAAAACUGUAAGUAACUGGGGACUUACAGGAGAAUUGAACAGUUGUUUCUGCUGACUCAGUAAAAAGUCUUCAUUUUAUAAUUUGUGGCCUGCAUGCUUGUAAAUUAAAAUGCAUUGAGUUGUCAA